rnacentral:lncRNA from 1 species
GUGAGGAUGUGGAGGAUUUGUUGGAAACUAUUUAAAGCAUAAUUAAUGUUCCCUUUAAAUACACGGAGAGAUAACAGAAUUAGUUGUGGGGGGAAAAAAAAACCCUUUUUCUAAUAAAAUGGAACAUUUUCAAAGGAAAAUAAAUGCUUAAGCAUUGGUUCCUGGCUGUUGGGAGGUGAUGUCGUUUCACUCGAGACAAAGGAGCUUUCUGGAGUGACAUGGCAGAGGAUCAGGUGCUGGAAUUAAAUGGUGGCAUCCAAAGGAAGUUCCCUUUUUUCAGAAUUCUGGAAUACUCUGAGAAAAACAGCCCCCAGAAAUGAUGGACUUGAUCCCAGUGUAUGGAAUGGUGCAAUAAUGUCACGUGGGCAGUGCAGUGUCACUGAAACUGGUGGCUGGAGGUGAUAAGGAGCUCAAGUUUGGAGCAGCGAUGGAAAAUCUCCCAGGGAUGAUUGCUGCUAGGAGUGAAAAGAAAGCAUAAAGACUGGGAGGGAUGCUCUUCAAUGGAAAAUUCACUGUGUGGUCAAAGAGCAGAAGAGUCUGCAGAGAGCUCUAUUUGUGCAUUCUGCAUCGAAGCUGCCGAAUGGACCCUCCUGAGGCUAUGGAUGGACCAGCUCUUGAAGGCUUGCUGUGUCUUCUUCUGUUCCCUGAUUUGGCUGCAAGUUCACAAUGAA